GUGCUGGCCUCAGCAGCACAUAUACUAAAAUUGGGAUGAUACAGAGGAGAUUAGCAUGGCCCCUGCACAAGGAUGACACCCAAAUUUGUGAGGUGUCCCAUUUUUAU
rnacentral:snRNA from 1 species